rnacentral:rRNA from 1 species
UACGUAUGGUGCAAGCGUUAUCCGGAUUUACUGGGUGUAAAGGGAGCGUAGGCGGCGCGUUAAGUCUGAUGUGAAAACCCGAGGCUCAACCACGGGAGUGCAUUGGAAACUGGCGGGCUGGAGUGCCGGAGAGGUAAGCGGAAUUCUUAGUGUAGCGGUGAAAUGCGUAGAUAUUAGGAGGAACACCAGUGGCGAAGGCGGCUUACUGGACGGCAACUGACGCUGAGGCUCGAAAGCGUGGGGAGCAAACAGG